CUUGUGGACAUAACACCUGGCAGUUACAUUUAUCACACAGCAGGACGAUGACUCCUUCUUUGACAGCUGAGGGGCCUUCAGCAUUUGCAGAUAUGAUUGUCAGUGCUGGUCCUGGUAAGAAGCCUUUUAUAGGUGAACAGCACUACCCCAGUAUAAUGAAACAGAAAGCUGCACUGCUUAACCCUGAAAGAUGAGAGAUGUACAGACCAAAUCUGUAAUGUGCACAGCAACAUCAUGACCACACUGAGCCUGGCAGCACCUUUGAAGUGUGAGCCUGAAGUGUGUUUGUUCCCUUCCCUGCCAUGCCCACGGUACUGAGGCUGUUCCUUGCCCUGCCCAACUUGCUGUGCACAGGACAAAAGGAGCAUGGACAGGCAGGCACUUUAUCUGAGCUGUCCAUAUGGGACCAGAAUUAGGAUUUCCUACCAGCACAGAGCACCAUUCUAAUAGCAAGAA